CUUUGGCUCAGUAGGUAGUGCAUCAGUCUCUCAAACUGAAGGUCCCCAGUGCAUCCUGGGAAG
rnacentral:tRNA from 1 species